AUUAUUUAAUACAUUUCAUUAUUACGAGAUAAUCUAGGAUCAAUAUUCAACUUCAAUAAUAUUCGUGUUCGUUGAUAUUUCCAUUUACACAUAACAAUAUUUCCUUAACGAAUGCUCAAUAAGAAGAAUGUUGGUUUUGUUUUGUAUAUUUCCACCCAUCCCCAACCUCCUCACUAAUCUUUUCUUCCAGGAAUUGUUGUGGCCGCGCGCAAGGCGGUCGGUAGAGUCAGUGCUUGUACGAACAUAUUUCCAAUGUUUUGAUUUUUUCAAGGGUGAACUGGCCCUGAAUAGAGUUGCGUUUGUACAAUUAGGAAUCACGAGAAAGUAGAGUCAGUGUUUGCUGCGUAUUAUAAAGUAUUUUCUAGAGUAUCGCGGCUCUGCUUUUUCCUUUUUCAUCGUGAAAGUAGAGUCACUACAAUUGUUCAAUUGAAAUUAUUCACGGUCGCGUUACUAUUUUUAUUUUUAAUUUUUUUUUUAAUUGCUCGAUAUAUCCGGCAUUAGAGUCAAAGCACCACUGAAGAUGAGUCUUGGGCGUUGCUCCAUAAGGAAAGAGUAUGAAUUUUUUUAUUUUGCCGAGUUCCUGGAUAUCCUGAUGAUGGCUUUCUUCACGACUUCCGCCUUGAUGAAUCUUCUCCUACAAGGCAGCCUCCUACCUGGUGUUGUCCAUCCUCCUACUUGACUGUCGGAAGAAGAGUAUAUCUGCGAACGGUGAGUCGCAUGUUUUAUGGUUCCUCCGGUGCCCAAUCAUGUCGUAGGACGAAUGGUCCGAAUCGACACGGGCUACUGGUUGUAUACGUGGUUAGCGAGCACAGUGACCAUGGGUACGCUUAUACUCAUGUGUAGUAACAUUUUUAUUGUGUUUGAUUUCAUUUAGUUCAGGCUAGGUCUUCUUGCACUUCGCGUUUAAAUAUUAUUUCU